UACGUAGAGCGCAAGCGUUAUCCGGAAUUAUUGGGCGUAAAGAGCUCGUAGGCGGUUUGUCGCGUCUGCCGUGAAAGUCCGGGGCUCAACUCCGGAUCUGCGGUGGGUACGGGCAGACUAGAGUGAUGUAGGGGAGACUGGAAUUCCUGGUGUAGCGGUGAAAUGCGCAGAUAUCGGGAGGAACACCAGUGGCGAAGGCGGCACUCUGGGCCGGUACUGACGCUGAGGAGCGAAAGCGUGGGGAGCGAACAGG
rnacentral:rRNA from 1 species